rnacentral:rRNA from 1 species
AGCGAACGCUGGCGGCAUGCCUAACACAUGCAAGUCGAGCGCUCCCAGCAAUGGGGGAGCGGCGGACGGGUGAGUAACGCGUAGGAACGUAUCCUGAGGUGGGGGAUAACCCUGGGAAACUAGGGCUAAUACCGCAUGAUGGCGAGAGCCCAAAGAUUUAUCGCCUUGGGAGCGGCCUGCGUCUGAUUAGCUUGUUGGUGGGGUAACGGCCUACCAAGGCGAUGAUCAGUAGCUGGUCUGAGAGGAUGAUCAGCCACACUGGGACUGAGACACGGCCCAGACUCCUACGGGAGGCAGCAGUGGGGAAUAUUGGACAAUGGGCGAAAGCCUGAUCCAGCAAUGCCGCGUGGAUGAAGAAGGUCUUCGGAUUGUAAAAUUCUUUCACCGGGGAAGAUAAUGACGGUACCCGGAGAAGAAGCCCCGGCUAACUUCGUG